rnacentral:tRNA from 1 species
GGGCGAAUAGCUCAGAUGGUUAGAGCGCCGGUCUCACAUACCGGAGGGCAGAGGUUCAAUUCCUCUUUCGCCCA